CUUUACUGCCAUUGUUUACCAAUGGACGGCGAAUGAUGUGAAGCAUGAUGGGAUGAGGCUGAGCGCUGAGCAUAAUUUGCAGUCUUGUUUUAACUUGAAACUUAUUGUGAAUGGUUUUGUUUGAUCAGUGAACUUCUCUUUAAGUUAUCCGUAGUUUUUAUUUUAGUGACAGUCACGAUGGAUUAUCCUGGCUCAAACUACAGUUUACCUCCAGCCGGUACUUCUCAAUACCCAGUUCCCGCCAGCCCUUACCCUGGUCAAGGAGCCACACAACCAAGCUAUGCCUCUGCUUUUAACGAUGCAUUACAUAUGUUGUGUUCAAUCAUGAAAUUGAACGCGGGUGCUCCAUACACGGGUGCUCCAGGAGGAGUGGACCACCAUGCAUUCAUGAGAGCAAACAUUGCUGCUUCAGAAGGUGUGAAUAAUCUUAAAGCUAUUGUUGGAGCACCCGCCACCAUUCCAACAGAAUCACAUAAAUCACCAAUACGUGACGAUAGCGGGUUGGAACGAAUAAUAGCCAUGAAGAAUGCCUCGAAAGAAAAUUUUUUUGAUACGACGGUUCAAAAACCAUGUGCUGUUUGUGGUGUGUCGUCCCCCCUGGUUUGCAUCGUGUGCUUGGAGGAGUACUACUGCAGCCACGACUGCCAAACCGAGGCCUGGGGCGAGCAUGAAUUGGUUUGCCGGAAAAGGGGAACUGCAAGUGGAGGCCAAAGAAAUGGUCACGCUGCUAUUGAAUCGAAUGCUGAACAUGGCAAAGUGAGUGCAGAAAAUGAGAGUAACAAAUACAACGGAGAGGCCUCUGUCUCUACUCAUACAACAGAAAGUUUGAGGAGGCCUGAUGCAAACAUGUACUUGAGGCCAUCGAAUAGGAAACCGAUCAUUAGAAACCAAAAGCAGCACAGACAACAGACAGAUACUAAGUCGAAUGCUUCUGAUGCAAGCACUGAUUCAAAGAGAACAAUGAACAAAGACAAUUAUCAGAAACCUUUCAAAAGAAAUUCUGGGUUCAACAAUAAUAGCUAUUUGAAACCCAAUGCUGAUGGUGACAAUAAUCGAAAACCUUAUGCUGAUAGUGAAAAUCAUCGAAAAUCUUAUGCUGAUAGUGACAAUCAUCGAAAACCUUAUGCUGAUAGUGACAAUCAUCGAAAACCUUACAGUGAGAACAAAACGAAUGGUUAUUUGAAACCAGAUUCUGAUAGUGACACUUGCAAGAGAUCAAUAAAAAAUGACGUGACCCAGACUAAGCCGAUUCCUCAACCAAAUUCAACUGCACCAAGAAAAACUGAGGCUGCAUCGUCUGAAACCGAAGUGAAGACGCGUAUUGAAGCAGGCAUGGUUAGAAAUGUUGCAUUGACUUCGGCGGAGUCGUUGACUGACUAUUGGGUCUCGUUGAAAGACGACGAAUCGGCGUUGAUGUGCCUGGCCACUGAGCUGAGCAAGCGUAUCACUGACCGUUCGCCCGGCCUGAAGAAGGCGUCGGUUGGCGACUGGUGCUGCAAGGCGUUUGACGGCUGUUGGACGCGGGCGCGAGUGGUGAAUGCCGCCAACCCUUUGACAGUGUUGUACGUGGAUUACGGAAACAGUGAGACGGCCACCAUAGACCAGCUGAGAGAAUUGCCCGCCGACCUGGGUGAACGCUCCUUCCCGCCCUUUGCCAUCCACGUCACCCACCCGGCCGGGAUCAGCCCCGCUGAUGCUGACCAGGUCUUCCCGUUGCGCUUCAUCUCGCACGACCCGCAAGGACUGUGGACUGUCGAAAAGGCUCGUCCCGAUGAGUUGACAGUACCGACGAAGCCAUGCGGUCAAGACGUGAGCUUUGACAGUCAGAUGGGCAGAAAUGAAGAAAGCUUGCCACCAAUGAUAUCCUCACCAUCUCCGUCAUGUGUUUCCACAGCAUCAUCCAAAUCGCCUUACUUUGAAGAAGGCAAAAUCUACAAAGUGCACUUACAACUGCCGCUAAGCUUAACUGAAUUCUAUGUAACUAAGCUUGAACUGAAGGAAGAACUGGAGAAGCUGCAUUCUGAAUUGAACAGUGUGGUCUCGGACAGUUCUCAGCCAAUUCAGAAUUUGGAAGUGAAGAGCAAAUGUGCUGCCAAGUACCUGGGCGAAUGGUACAGAGCAUCAGUGCUAAAGCUGGAUCCUCUGACGGUGCUCUUUAUUGACUAUGGCAAUGAGGAAACCUGCCAACCAAGUGACGUCAAGGAACUGCCACCUAAAUUCAGAACGCGUAUGUUGACAGCUCGAGUUCACUUAACCAAAACACCUACAAAGGAGCAAAUAAUGGCGAUGGACUCCGGUGAGCCUAUCCUAUUGGAAGCUUGAGAAAGGAUGGAAGUCAUUGGCUGGUUGACUACUCAACUCGUGAGCAGUCGAACAGCAUCUCAGAAAUAACUGAACAGAAUCAGUCGAUGCCAUCCAGAGAUACACCUGAACAGAUGGAAUCCGGCGCCAAACCUAACAGAUUGGGUAAGUUUACGAAAAUUCUCGAUGUAUUCAAAGAAGGUGACUCAGCCCACUGUGAAGCAAUGAGAGUUUUGGACGACGAGCGAAUAAUAUGUAUUUUGGGCAGUCGAGCCAGUACCAGAGAGCAAUAUAUGAAAAUCUAUGGACUGGAUCUGGGAGAUCCAUUGGGAGAGCCUUAUCGGCCAAAAAUGAAUGAAAUGGUUGGUGUUCAUUGGGAGGAGAAUGCUCCAUUUUGGAGACGCGGCCUUGUGCUGUCUGAAUUGAACGACUCAUAU
rnacentral:misc_RNA from 1 species